rnacentral:rRNA from 1 species
GAUGAACGCUAGCGGGAGGCUUAACACAUGCAAGUCGAGGGGCAGCAUAGGGUAGCAAUACUCUGAUGGCGACCGGCAAACGGGUGAGUAACGCGUAUGCAACCUACCCUGUACAGGGGGAUAACCCGGAGAAAUUCGGACUAAUAUCCCGUAAUAAUAUCCGGAGGCAUCUUUGGAUAUUUAAAGUUUCGACGGUACGGGAUGGGCAUGCGUAACAUUAGCUGGUUGGUAAGGUAACGGCUUACCAAGGCUAUGAUGUUUAGGGGUCCUGAGAGGGUGGUCCCCCACACUGGUACUGAGACACGGACCAGACUCCUACGGGAGGCAGCAGUGAGGAAUAUUGGUCAAUGGGCGCAAGCCUGAACCAGCCAUCCCGCGUGCAGGAAGACGGCCCUAUGGGUUGUAAACUGCUUUUCCAGGGGGAGAAACUUACGCACGUGUUGCGUGACUGACGGUACCCUGGGAAUAAGCAUCGGCUAACUCCGUGCCAGCAGCCGCGGUAAAACGUGCGUG